GACGGAGGGUGCUAGCGUUGUUCGGAAUCACUGGGCGUAAAGGGCGCGUAGGCGGCCCUGGCAGUCGGCUUGUGAAAGCCCGGGGCUCAACCCCGGAGGUGCGGCCGAAACACCAGGGCUGGAGGCCGGAAGAGGAGGGUGGAAUACCCAGUGUAGAGGUGAAAUUCGUAGAUAUUGGGUGGAACACCGGUGGCGAAAGCGGCUCUCUGGUCCGGACCUGACGCUGAGGCGCGAAAGCGUGGGGAGCAAACAGGAUUAGAAACCCCCGUAGUCC
rnacentral:rRNA from 1 species